AGAAUCAACGCUGGCGGCGUGCCUAACACAUGCAAGUCGAACGAGAAAGUGGAGCAAUCCAUGAGUAAAGUGGCGCACGGGUGAGUAACACGUGACUAACCUACCUUUUAGUGGGGGAUAACCUAGGGAAACCUGGGCUAAUACCGCAUAAUACCUACGGGUCAAAGCAGCAAUGCGCUGAAAGAGGGGGUCGCGGUCGAUUAGUUAGUUGGCAGGGUAAUGGCCUACCAAGACUGUGAUCGAUAUCCGGCCUGAGAGGGCGCACGGACACACUGGAACUGAAACACGGUCCAGACUCCUACGGGAGGCAGCAGUGGGGAAUUUUGCGCAAUGGGGGAAACCCUGACGCAGCAACGCCGCGUGGAGGAUGAAGUCCCUUGGGACGUAAACUCCUUUCGAUCGGGACGAUAAUGACGGUACCGGAAGAAGAAGCCCGGAUAACGUUCGUGCCAGCAGCCGC
rnacentral:rRNA from 1 species